GUGACUGUACUUGGUAUUGGUUACAUUUGUUAGUCACUCAGUGUAACCACACAGUCAGUCACAUAUAUCAAUCAAUACAAGUGGUUCCUGCCGACAGGGUCUGUCUAGUUAUCAGAUUUCCUGUGCGAUGGUUCUGCACAUC